CUGGUUUUGAGCAUUUCUGUAGAAAGUCACCUCGUGGUGAGGUGGCACUUGAUUAUCUGUGUAGGGUGGCUUAUGUGCAUGGUGAGAGGUUGUGCUUGCGUGCAUCAUUACGUGUGUGGCAUCAUCUUUUUGAUGGUAUUUAUUUCCUGCUUGUUUCUUUUCGGUAGCAUCUAGGGACGAAAACGAGUUCGAAGAGUCCGGUGAGUUCGUGCAGGAAGAUCAGGAACAGUUCCACUGUGAACAAAUCACAUGCAAGAUGAUCGUGACCUUGACACCGUUUCUGCUUUGUUUUGCUUAGCAAUUCGUUUCUGUUGUUACAUCUCCGCUGCCUACCACAUGAUAUAUAGG
rnacentral:lncRNA from 1 species